rnacentral:rRNA from 1 species
UACAGAGGUCUCAAGCGUUGUUCGGAUUCAUUGGGCGUAAAGGGUGCGUAGGCGGCGCGGUAAGUCGGGUGUGAAAUCUCGGAGCUUAACUCCGAAACUGCAUUCGAUACUGCCGUGCUUGAGGACUGGAGAGGAGACUGGAAUUUACGGUGUAGCGGUGAAAUGCGUAGAUAUCGUAAGGAAGACCAGUGGCGAAGGCGGGUCUCUGGACAGUUCCUGACGCUGAGGCACGAAGGUCAGGGGAGCAAAGGGG